rnacentral:sRNA from 2 species
AUAAGUUGCAAAGAAUUCCCGAUAGGGUCCGCGCAUGCGGAGAUGCCUUGUAACCGAGAAUGAGGGGGAAACAUAAGAAUG